CAUGGUUGUCGUUCAGCUCGUGUCGUGUAGAUGUUGGUUAAGUCCCGCAACGAGCGCAACCCUUGUCUUUAGUUGCCAUCAUUAAGUUGGGCACUCUAAAGAGACUGCCGAUGACAAAUCGGAGGAAGGUGGGGAUGACGUCAAAUCAUCAUGCCCUUUAUGUCCUGGGCUACACACGUGCUACAAUGGUCGGUACAACGAGAAGCAAGUCAGCGAUGGCAAGCAAAUCUCUAAAAGCCGAUCCCAGUUCGGAUUGCAGGCUGCAACUCGCCUGCAUGAAGUCGGAGUUGCUAGUAAUCGCGGAUCAGAAUGCCGCGGUGAAUGCGUUCCCGGGGCUU
rnacentral:rRNA from 2 species